GGACACAUCGCAUGUUUUUAAACUUUUUAAUUUUUUCAGCAAAAUUAAUUCAUUUCAUGCCUAAAACUACUUUACAUGUGUUUUAGAUGAAACAGUUUGCGUAGUUUUCGAGUUUGAAAGCGAUGAAAUUCAAAUCUUGCGAUAUGCAUAUUUUCUUCGAUAGUUUACGCGCCAUUAUCUGUGACGUCAUAUGCGACCUCGAGCGAGAAGAUUUGAAAACAGUUGUUAGCCAUUUCAUAAACAUAUUAGAUUUAAUUGACAAACAAACAAUUAUCACAUUAACGGCUUGUAAAUAAUACUGCAUUAGGGUGUUUUGUGCCGUUUAAGAGUGUACUUGCAGUCAGUAGAGAGGCUUUGAACUGUGUUUUUUGUCAAUUUUUCAAAGGAAGGUGUGAGGGACAAGACGUGAAUAUUUUUUGUCGGCACAACGACUUUGCCAUAAAAAACCCCAGUAGAUUUUUUUUAAACAAGCACUUGGACAAAGACGUAAAUAAACUGCGAGAAAAUGGUUCUAUCGAAGCUACGCACCGUUACAUAUACACUGUCAUGAUCGUGUGCAGGAUUGGACAAAACAAGAUGGCAGACGGCAUUUCCAAACAAAGAUCCAGUCAGGAGCGGACUUCCUUAAGCUUAAAAGUUGCAAGUGAAUGAAGUGUGUUCUAUUUUAUGUCUCCUAAUAAAACCAUGGUUUUGACAAACCUAAAAGAGCACGUGGAGCAAGGAACUAUCAGUAAGCCGGAAGAGCCAGCUCGAAAAUCUUUACGUGUUUGAGAAUUGCACCGCGCACAUGAAUCUAAAGUUCUGUCACACGUUAGAAGGAGCCUUGUUGUCGAAGAUCAACAUGUUGAAAAGUCUUCAUUUUGCAGAAGCAAAUACAUUUAUAUUGUAUAUACACAUGUAGACCAUGUUCGAUUCCCAACCACUUAACAUUUGUGAUAUCUGCAUGGAAUUAUGAAAACUGAGCAUGGUUUGACGUAUAAUAAUCUCUUCAGGCAUGAUGGUUUACAUUUCACAAAGCUGUUCAAUGACAAUAAAGACAAUAAGAUGU